AUACGGAGGAUCCGAGCGUUAUCCGGAUUUAUUGGGUUUAAAGGGAGCGUAGGCGGACGCUUAAGUCAGUUGUGAAAGUUUGCGGCUCAACCGUAAAAUUGCAGUUGAUACUGGGUGUCUUGAGUACAGUAGAGGCAGGCGGAAUUUUGGGUGUAGGGGGGAAAUGCUUAGAUAUCACGAAGAACUCCGAUUGCGAAGGCAGCCUGCUGGACUGUAACUGACGCUGAUGCUCGAAAGUGUGGGUAUCAAACAGGAUUAGAUACCCUGGUAGUCCACACAGUAAACGAUGAAUACUCGCUGUUUGCGAUAUACAGUAAGCGGCCAAGCGAAAGCGUUAAGUAUUCCACCUGGGGAGUACGCCGGCAACGGUGAAACUUAAAGGAAUUGACGGGG
rnacentral:rRNA from 1 species